rnacentral:rRNA from 1 species
AUACGGAGGGUGCGAGCGUUAAUCGGAAUUACUGGGCGUAAAGCGCGCGUAGGCGGCUUGGUCAGUCGGAUGUGAAAGCCCCGGGCUUAACCUGGGAACUGCAUUCGAUACUGCCAGGCUAGAGUAUGGUAGAGGGAAGCGGAAUUUCCGGUGUAGCGGUGAAAUGCGUAGAUAUCGGAAGGAACACCAGUGGCGAAGGCGGCUUCCUGGACCAAUACUGACGCUGAGGUGCGAAAGCGUGGGGAGCAAACAGGAUUAGAAACCCUAGUAGUCC